GCGGCGGCAGCGGCGGGCGCGAGCGGCAGCUGUCAGGCCACCGAGGUCCAAGCCGCACUUGCUGCCCCAUUGAGGACGAGGAGGCAGCAGGAGCAGUGACGGUGACUCUAAGGAGCCGGAUUCCCGGCACGCAGAGCUGACCUGCCUGGCACCCGCGGCCCUCUCCUGUUUCCUUCCCAUUGUGUUGGAUAAGCCAGCUGCAGAAUAUAUCCUGAGGUACCUGCUUUAUGGAAUUAUUCACACUAUUCACCAACAGGAAGAAUAAAGUCAAUCAAUUCAAGGAGUCUCAGAACAGGAGCACAUAGACACCAAACUUUGUGGGACAACAAAUAUAAUGAAGAGUAUGUUUGCGUCUUUCAAACAAAGAAAUGUUAUGAGAAUGACUUGGAUGAGCUGAAAAAUGAAUGAUCUCCUUGAACAAGGCUUGCCUGGAAUUUCGCUUUGCUGCAGAGACAUCUGGAAAUGUGGAUUGAGGGUGGAAAUAAAAUGAAGAUGUCCUGGAAACUUCCAACUGAUCCUUGGGUCUAAUUGGUGUGGGAUAUGCAGCACAAGCGUGAGAAGCCAUGAAGUGAGAGCCCCAACAGGGGCUCAGAGUCAAAAACCUAGAUAUUAGCUCCCAAAGUCCUUCCGAAUCUGCUCCAGCUCCCCACAUCACUCCUAGCUGCCCUUGGCCCUCUCCACCUUUCCCCUCCCGAUUCCUUGGAAAAUAAGCGUUCCUCCCCCACCCCCACCCCCAGCUCUACGAACACAAUAGAGAAGAAAAAAUUGUCUUUUAAGAUAAUUUCCUCCAAAUCCUUCUCAGUUUCAACUGCAUGAAGACAAAAUGCAGGCUGUCAAUUCGAUGAACAGAUUGUGAUUAGGCUGGGGGAGGCUAGAAUUGUAAUAAUUUUAUAGCUACAAUAAUAAAGACCCAGAAGUGGGCAAGACCUAUGCAAGUUCACAGACUAGGUUAAAGAAAAGGCCAGCGUUGAAGAUGUGGGUGAUUUCCAAGAAGGAUAAUCGACUUCGAGACAAGUCAAGAACACGAUCUGGGAAUCAGGUAGUCAGUAUUCUAUCCUGAGAGUGUAAUAUCUUCAUCAGAGAGCUUAAGCCAGGCAGACAAGAGGCAGGGAGUGGGUUAGAGUGAAGCAGCAGGUGGCAGUGAGGGUGGAGAGAAGAAACGAAAUAUAGUCCUUGCCACAGAGAAAGAAGCGGUAAGACAAAAAUGGCUAAGCAGCAAAAACAGGGAAAUACUAUAUAAAACCUGCCUUAGCAAUAAGCUAUUUCUAAAGACUGUGAAGGUAUUUAAAUGCCCACUGCUAGAUGGGAUCAGCCUGGGAAGGUUUUCUAGAACAGGUGAAUCUUAAACAGUGUCUGUCUGGGCUCCUUGUCAGUCCUGUCUCCCUUCACAGCUCCCUUGACCUAGAGGCCGGUGUCCUCCCAUGGAUGGCCUUUAAAACAACUGGCUGGCAUAUAAUAAGAGGGGCACCUGUUGGAAGACUCCGGAGAAGGAAGGUAUGGUCUCCUGGAACUUUUCCUGUGAUUUUGCCUUGGGAGAGGAGAGAAGAGGAGGGAGAUACUGAGCAGAGACUAGUACCUUCCUGGGGUGGGAGAAAGGCAAGAUUGUGUCUUACAGUUUUCUCUUUGGGCUGUGACUUUGGACAUGUUACUGGCUUGGGCUCUGCUGUUAGGAAAUGGACGAGUCUUUGGCAGAUGCCCCUGUGGGCCCACUGGGGCCAAAUCCUGCACCGUUUGAGGCUUGCUUAGAGUACUAGAACUCUAGAUCCUUUGCUCUUGUAUCAGCCCCAAGAAAAAAGGAUCUCUGGAAAUGCUGCCCCUUGCAAAACGGUAUAAUAGUAGCUUUCCAGAGCAGACGAGACUAAGGCCAUGUGACUGAUGGAAAAGGGUCCUAGAGCCCCUCGCCCUCCCCAGCCCUGCUCGCCAGCCACAGACUAUGCCUGCUUUGGAAGCUCAACUGUAGGAUUGAGCCAGCAAUAAACUUCUGGAUGGUCACUGUCGGAAUGGCCCUGGAGAAGGGGGAGGACCAAGAGCAAGAAAUCGCCAAAUGUGUCUCCUCAGCUCAUCAGAUGGCAGGAGUGAGCCCAAACUUUGGGAGUUCAGAUUUAGAGGAUGAGGCAAAUGAUCCUUCACAGCUCGAAUAGAUGAGACAGCUCUCCACACAGGGGACAUCACUCAGACUGAGCCCUCUCACAAAGCUUCCCCUGAGUUCUCAGCAGCAGCUCUGGGGACAGCAACUCUACUGGAAAGAAAAUAUGUGUUCCCAAUAAACCCACAGAUACCAAUUUAUCAACCACAUUCCCUUAACACACAUUUCUCUUCUCCUUUCUUCCAUCUCCAUUGCCUUAAUAUUCAUUCUAUCCUCUCCCCAAGUCUCAAUCUCUUUGUCUCUGUUACCUGUCUCUGUCUCUGUUUCUCUCUAUGUGUCUGUCUCUGUUUCCUUUUUCUCUCUCCACAUUCCCUGUCUUCGCCUUGUUCUUAUGCUUGUUCUUAUGCCCAGGGCCAGAAAAGGGACCCAGCCAGGUGACCGUGUCUCACUCAUCCCAGUGCCUUAAGGUUCCCAACUCCCUAGAAUCUAGUGUGUUCUCAUUGCUCUGUACAUCCCGACACUCUGCCUCAGUACCUCGUCAGCAGACCUUUCCUGAGGGCUCCCUACAGACCUCAUAGGGUAUCUUCCCAGGUCCUCCAGAGCCCAUUUUUAUCUACAUACCCCCACCUAUUUCUGUGAUUCUGCUUCCAUUGGUUCUGCUGGGUGCCCUUGGCAAAAUAUUCUUGAGUCCAGCUAGGCUCCUGCACUGCCAAGGGAUUCCUCAAGAGGCACUGCCAGCCUUCUUGGUGCAGCCUGCUGCCUGUACUGGGUGCCUGUGGGAACAAUGCAGGAUUGUAUAAAACUCGUAAACAGUUUGCUUCAUGCAAUUCUGAUGGUACCUCAGA
ensembl:lncRNA novel transcript